GUAGGUGAACCUGCGGAAGGAUCAUUAUCCAUCUCAACCAGGUGCGGUCGCGGCCUCCGGGGGUUCUCUCCCGGGUGGUAAGGGUAACACCUUCACGCGCCGCAUUUCUGAACCCUUUUUAUACGAGCACCUUCGUUCUCCUUCGGUGGGGCAACCUGCCGUUGGAACCAAACAAAACCUUUUUUGCAUCUAGCAUUACCUGUUCUGAUACAAAUAAUCGUUACAACUUUUAACAAUGGAUCUCUUGGCUCUG
rnacentral:misc_RNA from 1 species